rnacentral:rRNA from 1 species
UACGAAGGGGGCUAGCGUUGUUCGGAAUUACUGGGCGUAAAGCGCACGUAGGCGGAUAUUUAAGUCAGGGGUGAAAGUCCCGGGGCUCAACCCCGGAACUGCCUUUGAUACUGGGUAUCUCGAGUCCGAGAGAGGUGAGUGGAAUUCCGAGUGUAGAGGUGAAAUUCGUAGAUAUUCGGAGGAACACCAGUGGCGAAGGCGGCUCACUGGCUCGGUACUGACGCUGAGGUGCGAAAGCGUGGGGAGCAAACAGGG